rnacentral:rRNA from 1 species
GGUUAAGCGACUAAGCGUACACGGUGGAUGCCCUGGCAGUCAGAGGCGAUGAAGGGCGUGCUAAUCUGCGAUAAGCGCCGGUAAGGUGAUAUGAACCGUUAUAACCGGCGAUACCCGAAUGGGGAAACCCAGUGUGACUCGUCACACUAUCAUUAACUGAAUCCAUAGGUUAAUGAGGCGAACCGGGGGAACUGAAACAUCUAAGUACCCCGAGGAAAAGAAAUCAACCGAGAUUCCCCCAGUAGCGGCGAGCGAACGGGGAGGAGCCCAGAGCCUGAAUCAGCAUGUGUGUUAGUGGAAGCGUCUGGAAAGGCGCGCGAUACAGGGUGACAGCCCCGUACACAAAAGCGCAUGUGCUGUGAGCUCGAUGAGUAGGGCGGGACACGUGGUAUCCUGUCUGAAUAUGGGGGGACCAUCCUCCAAGGCUAAAUACUCCUGACUGACCGAUAGUGAACCAGUACCGUGAGGGAAAGGCGAAAAGAACCCCGGCGAGGGGAGUGAAAAAGAACCUGAAACCGUGUACGUACAAGCAGUGGGAGCACAGGUUUACCUGUGUGACUGCGUACCUUUUGUAUAAUGGGUCAGCGACUUAUAUUCUGUAGCAAGGUUAACCGUAUAGGGGAGCCGGAGGGAAACCGAGUCUUAACCGGGCGUUAAGUUGCAGGGUAUAGACCCGAAACCCGGUGAUCUAGCCAUGGGCAGGUUGAAGGUUGGGUAACACUAACUGGAGGACCGAACCGACUAAUGUUGAAAAAUUAGCGGAUGACCUGUGGCUGGGGGUGAAAGGCCAAUCAAACCGGGAGAUAGCUGGUUCUCCCCGAAAGCUAUUUAGGUAGCGCCUCGUGAA